AGGACGAAUGCUGGCGGCGUGCUUAACACAUGCAAGUCGAGCGGUAAGGCUCCUUCGGGAGUACACGAGCGGCGAACGGGUGAGUAACACGUGAGCAAUCUGCCCUUCUCUUUGGAAUAAGCGUUGGAAACGACGUCUAAUGCCGAAUACGACCUCCAUUCGCAUGUUUGGAGGUGGAAAGCUCCGGCGGAGAAGGAUGAGCUCGCGGCCUAUCAGCUUGUUGGUGAGGUAAUGGCUCACCAAGGCAUUGACGGGUAGCCGGCCUGAGAGGGUGACCGGCCACACUGGGACUGAGACACGGCCCAGACUCCUACGGGAGGCAGCAGUGGGGAAUAUUGGACAAUGGCGAAAGCCUGAUCCAGCAACGCCGCGUGAGGGAUGACGGCCUUCGGGUUGUAAACCUCUUUCAGCGGGACGAAGCGAAAGUGACGGUACCGCAGAAGAAGGACCGGCCAACGUACGUGCCAGCAGCCGC
rnacentral:rRNA from 1 species